AUGAAAAAGAAAAUGUGUGAGACCGACGUACUGAAGCCUAAAACGGCCAUACAGGCAAAGCAAACCAGGAUUAAAGAGGCAGCCAGGGACCAUGUGUUACAAAACCUGAAGACUUCCCUGUCUCAGAAGAGGGCCCUGGACACACAAGAUCACCUCUACAGUUCUGAGAACGAAUCUCCACAACGUGUUCAUGGGGGAAAGCGAGCAAGGAUUAACAAGGCAGCAAGACGUGUGCUUUUACCCCUGGCAUCCAGUCCAAGUUCUGAUGACGCCACAUACAUAGGAAGUCCACAACGUUUCAAGACGAAGAUGAAGAGUUGGGUUUCUCCUCAGCCCAGAGAAUGGCAAGUACAUUUAUAUUGA
rnacentral:lncRNA from 1 species